UCCGCUACCGGCGCGAGAAGCGUAAUUACACCUCGUAUUGUUGGACACACCACUGUCCAGGUUAGCAUCUCGCCGCUACCCGCCCGAGAAGCGUAAUUACAAACUGGACGCCACUGCCCAGAGCGGCAUCCUGUAGGACAGGGAACCUUAGAGUGGGGCGUAUAAAAUUUAUAACACCUUGCUGCCCCAGAAUCGGUCAAGUCCGUGAUUUGUAAGAUGACGAAGAACGGUAUUAAGAAGCGUCUCUUACGUGUUAAUUGUAAGCGCGAGAGAGUGCACAAAGAUUAGGCGCGAACAAAGCCCAUACGAUCUUGGGAACUGGGGAAAGAAGAUACGACCGUCCAGAAGGUACCUAUUGAAGUCUGAAUGAUCAAAGCGGUAUCAUUACGACGCUAGGGCCUUAUAUACCCAGGGUACGAAGAGUAGAGAAGAAGAGAGAGAGACCAGACUAGAGUAGAGAGAGGACAUAGAGGUAGGAGCUAGACCAGGUUAGGCGAAGGGUAGUGACGAUAUUCUUGUACGCUGCUUGAUAGUCGUCUGUUCGACAAAAAUGUUAUAACCAGUGUUUCAGGAAAUAGUAGUUAUCGUUCUGUAGAUUAUAGGUCCUCAAAUUCAUAGAUUGUUUUGCGAACAUCAUUCUAGUCAUUGUUGUUGAUGAUUAAAUAUUUCAAAAAUAUUACAGCGUGAAGUUUUCUUGUCAUCUUUGACAUAGCCUAUAGCGAUCACGGUCAGAGUGGUGUAACCAGUACAACAACAACAUUAAUACGGUUACACACUCGAUUUGGUGACAUGACCAGGAUCUCCGGUGUUGUUUCGAAGUUUAGCUGUGAUUUAGAGUAGGAAGUUCUAACCGAAAUUGCCCGUCAAAGAAGUCAACUCUGUGCCCUGUUGCUGAUCGUGUCCUGUUGCUGAUCAUGGACUGUUGCUGUUGCUGAUGGUGUCUGUUGCUGAUUGUAUCCUAUUGCUGAUAGUGGACUGUUGCUGAUCGUGGACUGUUGCUGAUCGUGGCCUGUUGCUGAUUGUGGUCUGUUGCUGAUCGUGGCCUGUUGUUGACGAAGACAACUUGACGUCCUGGUUGCUGAACUGCCCGGGGACAUCUCCAACACAUCUACGUCGAGAAACCAAUUGCCCCCUGCUACGGUAGUGUGACUUACAGUUUUCCGCAGAAACCAAGAUCAUCUGAAGAACGGUGAGGUAAAGUGUGCUAGACAGUCAGACAGCGAUGUAUGCAUAUCUUAACGACUAUUUUGUCUACGGCUAGCUGUGAUAAAACUGACAGGUUGGUCCUGGGUACUGCGCUUUGGCGGGUGCUGAGAAUUAUUGUUUGUGGUAUAAGGACGCAUCACACUACUCUAUGGAUGUUGUAACACAUUGCAAACCUGUACUAAAUGCUAAUAACAAUAUGAGUGAGUCGUGUGGUACUUGUAUUGUCCACAUACGCUGUAAUGUAGUAUCCUUGUAUAAGAUUGUAUUACUUUUCAAUAGACCUGAACUGUCUGCCCAUACCACGUACACAGAAUGAAGUAAAUAAUAAUAAUAAUUGCAUUUAUAUAGCGCAUAUCCAUGCUCAAGAGCAUGCUCUAUGCACUUUGCAACUAUUAUUACCCCAGCAGACCCUCUAUUAACACUUGGAAACAUUCUCGGCUUCCGCGGAAGCAUACAGUAAGCCACCAGGCAAAGACCCAUCGUAUGGUCACUGGUGUAGCAGUCGUGAGACGUGAACAGUUCAUUAAAUAACUGUUGGCUGUAGGAGCAAUUAUUUAAUAUAAGUGAUUAUGAGGCCGAAAGGCAAUAUGAAGGGUAUAUGAAUGUUCACAUUUUUAAUUGUAAACGCGUGGGAGUGCACAACGAUUUGACGCCUUUAAAGCCCAUACGAUCUUAGGGACUAGGGAAAGAAGAUACAACCAUCCAGAAUGUACCUAUUGAAGUCUGAAUGAUUAAAGCGGGAUCAUUACGACGCUAGGGCCUUAUAUCCCCAGGAUACCAAGAGUAGAGAAGAAAAGAGAGAGACCAGACUAGAGUAGAGAGAAGACGUAUAGGUAGGAACUAGACCAGCUUAGGCGAAGGGUAGUGACGAUUUUCUUGUAUACUGCUAGAUAGUCGUCUGUUCGACAAACGUUAUAGCCAGUGUUUCAGGAAAUAGUAGUAACCCUUCUGUAGAUUAUAGGUCCUUAAAGCUCGUAGCUUGUUUUACGAACAUCAUUCUAUUCAUUGUUGUUGAUGAUUAAAUAUUUUU